ACUAAAAACUUCUUGGGCGAC
rnacentral:siRNA from 1 species